GACGAACCGAGCGAACGUUGUUCGGAAUCGACUGGCUUAAGGGCGCGAGUAGGCGGGCUGGCCGCGUCCGGGGUGAAAUCCCAGCGGACUCCAACCGUGGAACGGCCCCGGGUACGGGCGGCCUCGACGGGGGGUAGGGGCGUCGCGGAAGGCUGUGGGGUGGAGCGGUGAAAUGCGGUUGAGAGUCCAACAGGAACUCCGGUGGCCGAAGGCGGGACACCGGCUGG
rnacentral:rRNA from 1 species